UUGCAAUAGCAACAAUAUAAAUUACCUACAGCAAUUCACCUAGUGAGUGUUGAUACUUUCAGUCUGAGCGA